rnacentral:rRNA from 1 species
AACGCUGGCGGCGUGCUUAACACAUGCAAGUCGAACGGAAAGGCCCUGCUUUUGUGGGGUGCUCGAGUGGCGAACGGGUGAGUAACACGUGAGUAACCUGCCCUUGACUUUGGGAUAACUUCAGGAAACUGGGGCUAAUACCGGAUAGGAGCUCCUGCUGCAUGGUGGGGGUUGGAAAGUUUCGGCGGUUGGGGAUGGACUCGCGGCUUAUCAGCUUGUUGGUGGGGUAGUGGCCUACCAAGGCUUUGACGGGUAGCCGGCCUGAGAGGGUGACCGGCCACAUUGGGACUGAGAUACGGCCCAGACUCCUACGGGAGGCAGCAGUGGGGAAUAUUGCACAAUGGGCGGAAGCCUGAUGCAGCAACGCCGCGUGCGGGAUGACGGCCUUCGGGUUGUAAACCGCUUUCGCCUGUGACGAAGCGUGAGUGACGGUAAUGGGUAAAGAAGCACCGGCUAACUACGUGCCAGCAGCCGCGGUGAUACGUAGGGUGCGAGCGUUGUCCGGAUUUAUUGGGCGUAAAGGGCUCGUAGGUGGUUGAUCGCGUCGGAAGUGUAAUCUUGGGGCUUAACCCUGAGCGUGCUUUCGAUACGGGUUGACUUGAGGAAGGUAGGGGAGAAUGGAAUUCCUGGUGGAGCGGUGGAAUGCGCAGAUAUCAGGAGGGACACCAGUGGCGAAGGCGGUUCUCUGGGCCUUUCCUGACGCUGAGGAGCGAAAGCGUGGGGAGCGAACAGGCUUAGAUACCCUGGUAGUCCACGCUGUAAACGGUGGGUACUAGGUGUGGGGUCCAUUCCACGGGUUCCGUGCCGUAGCUAACGCUUUAAGUACCCCGCCUGGGGAGUACGGCCGCAAGGCUAAAACUCAAAGGAAUUGACGGGGCCCCGCACAAGCGGCGGAGCAUGCGGAUUAAUUCGAUGCAACGCGUAGAACCUUACCUGGGUUUGACAUGGAUCGGGAGUGCUCAGAGAUGGGUGUGCCUCUUUUGGGGUCGGUUCACAGGUGGUGCAUGGCUGUCGUCAGCUCGUGUCGUGAGAUGUUGGGUUAAGUCCCGCAACGAGCGCAACCCUUGUUCACUGUUGCCAGCACGUUAUGGUGGGGACUCGGUGGAGACCGCCGGGGUCAACUCGGAGGAAGGCGGGGAUGACGUCAAGUCAUCAUGCCCCUUAUGUCCAGGGCUUCACGCAUGCUACAAUGGCUGGUACAGAGAGUGGCGAGCCUGUGAGGGUGAGCGAAUCUCGGAAAGCCGGUCUCAGUUCGGAUUGGGGUCUGCAACUCGACCUCAUGAAGUCGGAGUCGCUAGUAAUCGCAGAUCAGCAACGCUGCGGUGAAUACGUUCCCGGGGCUUGUACACACCGCCCGUCAAGUCAUGAAAGUUGGUAACACCCGAAGCCGGUGGCCUAACCGUUGUGGGGGAGCCGUCGAAGGUGGGACUGGUGAUUAGGA